AUGGUGCCUCUCACAGAGAUUAAAGUUGGAGCCUCUGUUAUAUCGGAGAUGGAGGUUGAGAACCUGACUUGUACUGAAUGCUACUGCCCUAUUCAUAAUCUCAAAACUGAAAUUGCCUUUGCACUGAAUCACGCGGGACUGUUAUGUGAACCUUGGAACUUGACCAUGAUGAACUUGCAAGCAUGCUGGAAUUACAGUGAGUCUUGUGCAACAUAG